rnacentral:ncRNA from 1 species
CAUUGGUGAGAAUCCAAUGCCCUGAAAACCUAAGGGUUCCUCCGCAAGGUUCGUCCACGAAGGGUGAGUCAGGGCCUAAAAUCAGGCUGAAAUGCGUAGUCGAUGGACAACAGGUGAAUAUUCCUGCAUUACCCCUUGUUGGUCCUGAGGGACGGAGUAGGCUAGGUUAGCCGUAAGAUGGUUAUCGGUUCAAGGACGCAAGGUGCCCCUGCUUUUUCAGGGUAAGAAGGGGUAGAGAAAAUGCCCCAAGCCAAUAUCCGAGUAUCAGGCGCUACGACGCUGAAGUAACCCAUGCCAUGCUCCUAGGAAAAGCUCGAACGUCCUUCAACAAAAGGGUACCUGUACCCGAAAUCGACAUAGGUGGGUAGGUAGAGAAUACCUAGGAG